rnacentral:tRNA from 1 species
GUCCCCUUCGUCUAGAGGUCUAGGACAUCGCCCUUUCAUGGCGGCAACAGGGGUUCAAAUCCCCUAGGGGACGCGA